GUCACGCUGUAAACGAUGUCGAUUUGGAGGUUGUUCCCUUGAGGAGUGGCUUCCGGAGCUAACGCGUUAAAUCGACCGCCUGGGGAGUACGGCCGCAAGGUUAAAACUCAAAUGAAUUGACGGGGGCCCGCACAAGCGGUGGAGCGUGUGGUUUAAUUCGAUGCAACGCGAAGAACCUUACCUACUCUUGACAUCCAGAGAACUUAGCAGAGAUGCUUUAGUGCCUUCGGGAACUCUGAGACAGGUGCUGCAUGGCUGUCGUCAGCUCGUGUUGUGAAAUGUUGGGUUAAGUCCCGCAACGAGCGCAACCCUUAUCCUUUGUUGCCAGCACGUUAUGGUGGGAACUCAAAGGAGACUGCCGGUGAUAAACCGGAGGAAGGUGGGGAUGACGUCAAGUCAUCAUGGCCCUUACGAGUAGGGCUACACACGUGCUACAAUGGCGUAUACAAAGAGAAGCGACCUCGCGAGAGCAAGCGGAACUCAUAAAGUACGUCGUAGUCCGGAUUGGAGUCUGCAACUCGACUCCAUGAAGUCGGAAUCGCUAGUAAUCGUAGAUCAGAAUGCUACGGUGAAUACGUUCCCGGGCCUUGUACACACCGCCCGUCACACCAUGGGAGUGGGUUGCAAAAGAAGUAGGUAGCUUAACCUUCGGGAGGGCGCUUACCACUUUGUGAUUCAUGACUGGGGUGAAGUCGUAACAAGGUAACCA
rnacentral:rRNA from 1 species